CACGUAUAUAAAACCAUUUGUCAAUCUUGAACUCGAUCCACUGUGCCAACAAAAAAAGUACAAACUGUCGUGUUGUCUUGCAUUUAUGUUUAGUAAAUAUAUUUUCAGAGGUCUUCGACUUGAUAUGACCUCAUUAAAUUCUUUCCAAAAACACAUACUCAUUGUACCAUUAAAAUUAUAGUGUUUAUUAGCUCAAAGAAGUGCAUAAGCAAGCUAAACACGGAUCAAACGAUAUUUCAGAAGAGAAGAUUCAUAUUCGACCUGCACGCGUCGCAUAUAAAAUAUGUAUAUUAACAUUUGAACAGAAAUUAUGAAAAAGUACACCUUUAUAGUAAAUAUGAAUACGAUGUCGAUAAUGCAUGGUGAUAUGGAGCAUUUACGUUUCUAAAUUUAUAUAUUAGAUGAUACCGAUGCAGUGCUUAACUGCGGUGGAUACAUCCCAGAGACUAUAGAAAUCAAACACCGGAAAAUAUUCAAAACGGAAUGCGGAAAAUUGUAUUAUACACGAACAAUUCCUAUAUGCAAGUAUAUAUAGGCUUUAUAUUAGCUAUACAUAUACACAUA